rnacentral:rRNA from 1 species
UUUCCACUUCGGUGGCGUAGAGACAGGUGCUGCAUGGCUGUCGUCAGCUCGUGUCGUGAGAUGUUGGGUUAAGUCCCGCAACGAGCGCAACCCUCGCCCUUAGUUGCCAGCAUUUAGUUGGGCACUCUAAGGGGACUGCCGGUGAUAAGCCGAGAGGAAGGUGGGGAUGACGUCAAGUCCUCAUGGCCCUUACGGGCUGGGCUACACACGUGCUACAAUGGUGGUGACAGUGGGCAGCGAGGCCGCGAGGCCGAGCUAAUCUCCAAAAGCCAUCUCAGUUCGGAUUGCACUCUGCAACUCGAGUGCAUGAAGUUGGAAUCGCUAGUAAUCGCGGAUCAGCAUGCCGCG